UACGAAGGGGGCUAGCGUUGUUCGGAAUCACUGGGCGUAAAGCGUAUGCAGGCGGAUCGUUAAGUGAGGGGUGAAAUCCCGAGGCUCAACCUCGGAACUGCCUUUCAUACUGGCGAUCUUGGAGUCCGGGAGAGGUGAGUGGAACUGCGAGUGUAGAGGUGAAAUUCGUAGAUAUUCGCAAGAACACCAGUGGCGAAGGCGGCUCACUGGCCCGGUACUGACGCUGAGAUACGAAAGCGUGGGGAGCAAACAGG
rnacentral:rRNA from 1 species